GAUGACCUUAGCUUGCUAAGGGGAUUAGUGGCGAACGGGUGAGUAAUAUAUCGGAACGUGCCUUGUAAUGGGGGAUAACUAGUCGAAAGAUUAGCUAAUACCGCAUACGCCCUGAGGGGGAAAGUAGGGGAUCUUCGGACCUUACGUUAUAAGAGCGGCCGAUAUCUGAUUAGCUAGUUGGUGGGGUAAUGGCCUACCAAGGCGACGAUCAGUAGCUGGUCUGAGAGGACGACCAGCCACACUGGAACUGAGACACGGUCCAGACUCCUACGGGAGGCAGCAGUGGGGAAUUUUGGACAAUGGGCGCAAGCCUGAUCCAGCCAUUCCGCGUGAGUGAAGAAGGCCUUCGGGUUGUAAAGCUCUUUCGCAAGGGAAGAAAACUUACAUUCUAAUAAAGUGUGAGGCUGACGGUACCUUGAUAAGAAGCACCGGCUAACUACGUGCCAGCAGCCGCGGUAAUACGUAGGGUGCGAGCGUUAAUCGGAAUUACUGGGCGUAAAGCGUGCGCAGGCGGUUUGGCAAGUCAGAUGUGAAAUCCCCGAGCUCAACUUGGGAACUGCGUUUGAAACUGCCAGACUAGAAUAUGUCAGAGGGGGGGGUAGAAUUCCACGUGUAGCAGUGAAAUGCGUAGAGAUGUGGAGGAAUACCAAUGGCGAAAGGCAGCCCCCUGGGAUAAUAUUGACGCUCAUGCACGAAAGCGUGGGGAGCAAACAGGAUUAGAUACCC
rnacentral:rRNA from 1 species